rnacentral:rRNA from 1 species
UACGUAGGGUCCAAGCGUUGUCCGGAUUUAUUGGGCGUAAAGAGCUCGUAGGCGGUUCGGUAAGUCGGGUGUGAAAACCCCAGGCUCAACCUGGGGACGCCACUCGAUACUGCUGUGACUUGAGUUCGGUAGGGGAGCACGGAAUUCCUGGUGUAGCGGUGAAAUGCGCAGAUAUCAGGAGGAACACCAAUAGCGAAGGCAGCUCGCUGGGACGGUACUGACGCUGAGGCGCGAAAGCGUGGGGAGCGAACAGG